rnacentral:rRNA from 1 species
UACGUAGGGGGCAAGCGUUGUCCGGAAUCAUUGGGCGUAAAGAGCGCGUAGGCGGUCCGGUAAGUCCGCUCUGAAAGUCCGGGGCUCAACCCCGGGAGGCGGGCGGAUACUGUCGGGCUAGAGUCCGGAAGAGGCGAGUGGAAUUCCUGGUGUAGCGGUGAAAUGCGCAGAUAUCAGGAGGAACACCAAUGGCGAAGGCAGUACUCUGGGACGUGACUGACGCUGAGACGCGAAAGCGUGGGGAGCAAACAGG